rnacentral:rRNA from 12 species
CUUUGUGAUUCAUGACUGGGGUGAAGUCGUAACAAGGUAACCGUAGGGGAACCUGCGGUUGGAUCACCUCCUUACCUUAAAGAA